rnacentral:rRNA from 1 species
GAGCUUCGGCUCUGAAUAUCUAUGGCUAGAUAAAAUACAAGUCGUAACAAGGUUUCAGUUGGAGAACCAGCUGAAGGAUCAUU